UACAUGGGGUGCAAACGUUGCUCGGAAUCAUUGGGCGUAAAGCGCACGUAGGCGGUUCGUUAUGUCGGAUGUGAAAGCCCUCGGCUUAACCGGGGAAGUGCAUCCGAAACUGGCGAGCUUGAGUACUAAAGAGGGUCGCGGAAUUCCCGGUGUAGAGGUGAAAUUCGUAGAUAUCGGGAGGAACACCAGCGGCGAAGGCGGCGACCUGGGUAGAUACUGACGCUGAGGUGCGAAAGCGUGGGGAGCAAACAGGG
rnacentral:rRNA from 1 species